GUAGGGAAUAUUGGACAAUGGGCGAAAGCCUGAUCCAGCAAUGCCGCGUGAAUGAUGAAGGUCUUAGGAUUGUAAAAUUCUUUCACCGGGGACGAUAAUGACGGUACCCGGAGAAGAAGCUCCGGCUAACUUCGUGCCAGCAGCCGCGGUAAUACGAAGGGGGCUAGCGUUGCUCGGAAUUACUGGGCGUAAAGGGCGCGUAGGCGGACAGCUUAGUCAGAGGUGAAAGCCCAGGGCUCAACCUUGGAAUUGCCUUUGAUACUGGCUGGCUUGAGUUUGGGAGAGGUGAGUGGAACUCCGAGUGUAGAGGUGAAAUUCGUAGAUAUUCGGAAGAACACCAGUGGCGAAGGCGACUCACUGGCCCAAUACUGACGCUGAGGCGCGAAAGCGUGGGGAGCAAACAGGAUUAGAAACCCCGGUAGUCC
rnacentral:rRNA from 1 species